rnacentral:ncRNA from 1 species
UUGGUUCGCACUCUACGUGCGACGAAGAGGGAACCGGGUGGGAAUCCCGGACAGUCCCGCUGCUGUGUGCGGCUUUUUCAAGAGCGAACAGUCAAAGCCACUGACUAUCCAUUCGAUUUCAGGAUGCGUCGGGAAGGCGUUCGUUCUCAGCCGCGAGUCAGAAGACCUGCCGUUGCUAG